rnacentral:lncRNA from 1 species
AGAAAAACCCAGGAACUCUGCCAGUUGGCACAUUGCCAUUGUGGGCGUUGGUAUCUUGGUUGCUUAGUCCAAAGCCUUCAGUUCAGACAAUGGUAGAGGAAGGAGAAGACAUAAUGAUUCAAGUAAAAGAGAAGGUCUCUCAAGUUAGUCAGACAGAGGAAAAGAUUCAAGUAAAAGAGAAGGUCUCUCAAACUAGUCAGACAGAGGAAAAAAUUCAAGUAAAAGAGAAGGUCUCUCGAGCUAGUCAGACAAAGGAAAAAAGUUUAGAGAAGAAAAAGCCAUCAGGGGAAAAGUUACAACAGGAGACUGCUACUAACACUUUCUAUCACCAGAGGGCGUAAGUGUCCAACCAACAGCUCCACCUCCAUAUGCUGGGAGGCCCCCAACCCCUAUAGUUGAUAGACAGGAUCCUGAAACAGGACCUCAAAGAUUAGCAUGCUCUGUAUUUGAACAGGCAGGAGGGCAGCGAAUUCACCAUGUUUUAGAUUUCAAAACAGUGAAGCAGCUAAAAGAGGCUGUAACAACCUAUGGUCCUCAAGCACCCUUCACUGUAAACAUGGUCGAAUCCAUUACCAACUUGGACAUGAUGCCAGCAGAUUGGACUAGUAUGUGUAAAGCUGUGCUAAAUGGAGGACAAUACCUGUUAUGGAAGGUUGCAAAUGAGGAAUUUUACAAGGAGAUGGCUAGGCGAAAUGCAGCAGCUGGUUAUCCUCAGAGAAAUUUAGAUAUGUUGUUAGGAAAGGGACCUUAUGAGGAUCAGCAGCAACAAAUUGCAUAUGAUCCUGCCAUAUACUCACAAAUUGCUGCAGAUGCGGUUAGGGCAUGGAAGACUUUACAAGGACAUGGAGGUUUACAAGGUCAAUUAUCUAAGGUAAUACAAAGAGCUAAUGAACCUUAUGCUGAAUUUGUAGAUAGGCUUAUUCAAACAGCUACCAGAGUUUUUGGGAAUACAGAACAAGCAAUGCCAUUAAUAAAACAACUGGCUUAUGAGUAAGCAAAUCAUUGGUGCAGAGAGGUCAUUAGACCAUGGAAACAGGAAGAUUUAAACACAUAUAUUAAAUUAUGUAGAGACAUUAAUGAACAAGGGCAAGUCUUGGCAGCUGCAGUACAACAGGUUUUAGAUGCCAGGCCAAAACCAUGCUACAAUUGUGAACAAACAGGACAUUUUAAAAGGAAUUGCCCCAUAGAAGGAGGGUUUAACAAUACUAGGUAUCAAAGGGGUAGAAUACCGGGUAUUUGCCCACGAUGCCGUAGAGGGAGAACAGCAGCCAAUUUGGAUUCCAGAGAGAUUAACUAAGGUCCUGACCCAGUGAUUGUCUGGAGUCGGGGGUCUGUUUGUGUGUUUCCACAGGGAGAACAGCAGUCGAUUUGGAUUCCAGAGAGACUAACUAAAGCGAUUUCUACAGACCAAAAAGAAGAUGAUUUGGCUCAAAUCCAUAACAGCUGAUAUCCAGAACUCCAGUUUGGCUAUCCUUACAUCUGAGACAGUGGUUCUUCCUCACCUGGAGGCUAAUGAAACCAGGAUGCUUUUUUCAAUAUCUAUUUUAUUAUUGCCCUUUCCCACAUCAUGAAGUUCUAUUUUGUUUUUUAAGCUCAUACAGACCUAGGUUAAUGUUUUUCUGAUCAGUUCUAUUUUUUGAGUGUGGAGUUUUUAAACAUUGCAAUGGAGAUUUCACCUGUAAAAAGUUAUAAGGCCUUUACUAUUAUGUUAUGUGUUGUAUGUAUUAUAUUAUGUGUGCACACUUGUGUUUUGUGUUGUAUGUUUGUAUGUACGUAUGUCCAUAUAUCAUAUAUGAGGAGUGCUCAUGAAAAAAUGGAUCCAAAUAUUGUUUUUUUUAUUCACGUGAUUUAAAUGGUUUAAUUUAAAUUGGGUAAACAGCUGUUGAGGAUUGUUUUAAUAUGUGAACAAAAAAGGAGGUUAACAGAUCUGUUUGUUUACUUUCACCUUUCCUUUUCAUUAUAUUUAAUAAUUCUGUUCAGGAUAAUGUAAAUUGUUCAGAAAAUUGUUUUCUUUCAGUGCCUGCUGGAACGUUACAUAAUUUUUUCUUUAGCCAUUAUUGCCAGAAUUCCUAUCUUCAUCCCAGUGCCGGUGAAGACAAAGAUAAAACCAAUCUACAGCUUCUGCAAUAGCUAUCACUGAACUUCUUGCAGAACUUGCCUGGACUAUGUAUCACUUGUAUGCAUUGUAAACUCACUUGUAUGCAUUGUGAACUAUCUGUUGGUGCAACGACUUGUGGUAGUGUUGGGGUAUUUUUGCUGAUGGUGUCAUCGGUGGUACAAUUUUUCCAAAAGGAGCCGUCAAUUGGCUUGGUGUAUCCUCCUCCCUUCUGCUUGUGAUGGUCGUUCAGCUAAAAUUUGGGGGCCAACAGAGGUGAGGCAAAGAACCUCACCCCCCCACUGGUACAAAGGCCUAUCCACAGGUGUGGCUGUAUGCUGGACCGGUAGUCAAUGACGGGUAAGAUCCAAUUGCAAUGGUACCAACCUAAGACAGGAGGCUGACGCCUUGAGGUCAGCUCAUCCGAUGACGGGUAAGGACCAUAUGUAGUAUUGGACAACCUAAGGCAGGCACGGUCCCUAAGCCACAUGCUUGUUGUUUAAACAGGGAGGGGGAGAUGUUGAGAGUCACAGCCAAUUGGCCUCAAAAGCAGGAGGAGUGGGGGGGGGAGAGG